rnacentral:rRNA from 1 species
AACGUAGGAGGCAAGCGUUAUCCGGGGUUACUGGGCGUAAAGCGCGUGUAGGUGGGUUGGUAAGUUACUUAUGAAAGCUCCUGGCUAAACUAGGAGAGGUUGAGUGAUACUGCCAGUCUUGAAUAGAGGAGAGGUUGACGGAAUUCCGCGUGUAGUGGUGAAAUGCGUAGAGAUCGGGAGGAACAUCAGUUGCGAAGGCGGCUCUCUGGACCAGUACUGACGCUGAGGCACGAAAGCGUGGGGAGCAAACAGG